rnacentral:lncRNA from 1 species
CACCGUUAAUUUUAAAGAUCAAAUCAGUAUUUGCAAGUCAUGCUAAACUCAUUGCUGUUGUGAUUUAUGUGGUUCGUAUGAGCCUUUGUGUGCUUGAUUUGUAUGCCACUAUUUGUUAGUUGUAUUGAUUGAUUCCUUUAUAUUUUGUCCUUUUAAACUCCAUAUAUGGCCCAUCCCUUUCUCCCAUUUAAGAUUAGAAGUCCAAAUACCCCGGGACUAAUUGGUCGAGAUGGGUAUUAG